GCUAGUAAACUUUCAGGCAGGGCAUUUGGCUUGGCUUUGAGCCGUGCUUUGGCUGCCAGGGCAGGACCUGAGGUGCAAAGGUGGAGCUGCGUUGUGUGAUCAGAGGAAGUGCAGCAGGUUCUUACAGCUGUCUGCCUUCCAAGGAGACACCAUGAGACAAGGACUUUGUGCUCAGCAGUAAAGCACCCACCACCUUCAGCAGAACCCCGCCUUUCCCCAAACUCUUGCAGCUCACAUGUUGCUGUGAAUGAAUUCUGACAUUCAUGGCAUGAGCACUGCAUGCAUGCACGCAAAAAGUCCUCCUGAUAGUACUCCAAGAAGGCCUGUUUUAGCUGUCAGUGCAAGAAAAAUUAAAGAUAAUGCAGCAGACUGGCAUAAUUUAAUGAUGAAAUGGGAGAGACUGAAUGAUAAUGGAUUUACUACAGCAAACAAAAUAGUCAACAUGAGGAUCAGUGAGCAAUUUCAAGAUAACAAAUUGGAGAUAGCAUGUGAUAACAGUGCCACAGAACCUGAAAAGCCAACCCCAAAAUACAAUGAAGAGCUGGACAAUUGCUGUGCAGAAUUACUUGAGACCUUAAAGCAUAUGACAAAAAUACAACUGAAAAUGGAAAAGCUUACUUCAACUACUAAAGCAAUCUGUGACUUGGAAACAUUCCACCACAGAGCUGGGAAUUGCAAGGCUCCCUUCUUUCAUACAUGGCCCACACCAUACUUCUAUGAGGUUUCUCUGAAGCUGUCUGAAAUGUACAAGAAGGAACUACAACUCAAGCAAACAAUUGUACAAGACAUUGCUCAUUGUGCUGACCAGGAUCUGAUGAUGGUGUAUUUAUCAUCGUGGCUGUACCAGCCUUACAUUGAGAACAGCAGCAUGCUGCUGCUCGAAGCCAUGCUGCUGGAAACAGGACACAGGCAGUGCUAGAGUUGCAAAGGUUACAUGGCUGGCUUCUGGUGAUGCUUAGAUGAAACUGAACUGGCAUAUUGCAAGGCUUACCAAGUAGAAAUUGUGGUUUGUUCUCAUUUCUUAAGAGGAAAAAAGCUCUUCAGGAAGGGGUCUUCAUAUUCACGGACCCUCUUGCUUAUUGACUGUUGUUGGGUAUUGGAAGAUUACUGCAAAAUCAUUGCAGAGAUGUUUUGUCAUUCUAGCUCUAAGCAGUUGAUUGUUAUAUUUGUAGCCCUCAAAUAUAAUUAUUACACAGUCAGUACAAAAGAGUAUCAUAAAGAAUUGCUCACUGCAAUAAAAGACUGAAAGACCAA